UUCUUCUCGAAUUAGUUUUAUCUGCCGGAGUAAUUUAUGGCCAGACGCUCAAGGAGAAAUAAGCAAAAUUUCUGUUUACUUAUUCAGCAAGGGGAAAUUUUAUUUUCUGGGUGGGAUAGAGACAAGUGAUUUGAGGCUUCAUUAAAGCCUCACCUCAACGGAUCCUUUGGUGGGCGUUUAAACUCCUGCCGAUUCUUUUGCACAAAGCACCGAAAAAUAACAGACAGACAUUGGCCCUUGUUGACUUUACCCAAGCAUAAAACUGCCUAAAAAUUGCCAAAAAUUUAAAUGAAAUGCAUAGCAUGGAGAGAAAACAAGCGAACGAUGUCCGGAAAGCAUUGUUAAACAAAAGAAGAGUGUGGGUGCUGGGAAUUGGAAUGAACAAAAAAAGAAGCAAAGAAAUCUGCAGGACUUCGAUUCGAGCCCUAGUAUUAUCGCACAAUACAAUAUGUAUAUUGGAUUAUUUCGUUUGUGCGAGUUUGGCCAGAGAAACCAGGCAAACCAGACUCCUGAAACUCCAGUGCAGCAAAGCCAAUUUGGCUAUGUCAAUAGAAGCAAAGGACAUGAAAGAAUGGCAGCCCGAGGGACUCGACUCUGCGGAACUGGGACUACGACCAGCAAGCAUGUAAAUAUUCAAAUCAAAAGCGCAAUUGAAUGUGCGAGUAAAUGUCAUCGUAUCUUGCAUUCAAAUCUUUGAUUGCCAGCCAUUCAGGACGGCAAGUUUAUUGCACUACUCUUGGCACUCAGCCAUAUCAGAGGGGGAACUGGGGGAAUCCCAUUCCGGUCCCAUUCACCUGUUCCCGAGUUCUCCAUUUCUCCAGUUCACCAGUUCGAAUGACACUCUCUGGGAAUU